CGUACACUCCUACGGGAGGCAGCAGUGGGGAAUUUUGGACAAUGGGCGAAAGCCUGAUCCAGCCAUGCCGCGUGCAGGAUGAAGGCCUUCGGGUUGUAAACUGCUUUUGUACGGAACGAAACGGCCUUUUCUAAUAAAGAGGGCUAAUGACGGUACCGUAAGAAUAAGCACCGGCUAACUACGUGCCAGCAGCCGCGGUAAUACGUAGGGUGCAAGCGUUAAUCGGAAUUACUGGGCGUAAAGCGUGCGCAGGCGGUUAUGUAAGACAGUUGUGAAAUCCCCGGGCUCAACCUGGGAACUGCAUCUGUGACUGCAUAGCUAGAGUACGGUAGAGGGGGAUGGAAUUCCGCGUGUAGCAGUGAAAUGCGUAGAUAUGCGGAGGAACACCGAUGGCGAAGGCAAUCCCCUGGACCUGUACUGACGCUCAUGCACGAAAGCGUGGGGAGCAAACAGGAUUAGAUACCCUAGUAGUCC
rnacentral:rRNA from 1 species